rnacentral:lncRNA from 1 species
CAACUCAAGAUACCCCAUUGAGCUGCUUCAAGAGCACUGUAUUUCAUUUCUUGUUUCUGAGAACCUGUUCCCAAUGAUAUCACCAAAAACUUGUCGUAUUGCAUCGGUUCCACAUUUAAGCUAUCACAUGGCCCUUCAUGACAUAUUUGGUUCGUAACUUCUGCCAUGGCCACCAGUGCCUGGAAUACCAAAUUAACAUAUAUACCACAUCCUUAUUUGUCAAUUAAAUUGAUGAUUUAUAUACAUCUUAGUCAUCAUAUAAUACUACCUCUAUUCGUCACUAUACUAUAACUUGUUUCUUAUAAUAAAGAACGGAGUUAGGAUCGUUUUUGCAUGCUUAAGAAUUUUUUAAUUAGUUUUAACCAUUAGUUAUUCAUAUUUGAAUUAUAUCGUUAAAAUUUACUCCUUUCAUUUGAAUUAUAAGAUUGUGUACCGGGUUAUUUGCAGCAACGCCACCGUCUAUAAGGUCGAAUUUGCUGACACCGUGGUGGGUUUUGGUUUCAAAGGAAUGAGCUGGAAGAUAUGUUGGAGCUGCCGAAGUUGAAAUGCAUAUAUCAGACAACGAUGCAUUCAAAUCUGGCCUCUUCUUCAGCUGUG